rnacentral:rRNA from 1 species
GACGAACGCUGGCGGCGUGCUUAACACAUGCAAGUCGAACGGAAAGGCCCUGCUUUUGUGGGGUGCUCGAGUGGCGAACGGGUGAGUAACACGUGAGUAACCUGCCCUUGACUUUGGGAUAACUUCAGGAAACUGGGGCUAAUACCGGAUAGGAGCUCCUGCUGCAUGGUGGGGGUUGGAAAGUUUCGGCGGUUGGGGAUGGACUCGCGGCUUAUCAGUUUGUUGGUGGGGUAGUGGCUUACCAAGGCUUUGACGGGUAGCCGGCCUGAGAGGGUGACCGGCCACAUUGGGACUGAGAUACGGCCCAGACUCCUACGGGAGGCAGCAGUGGGGAAUAUUGCACAAUGGGCGGAAGCCUGAUGCAGCACCGCCGCGUGCGGGAUGACGGCCUUCGGGUUGUAAACCGCUUUCGCCUGUGACGAAGCGUGAGUGACGGUAAUGGGUAAAGAAGCACCGGCUAACUACGUG